UUGGUUAGGUUACCGCCGUAACGAGCGCAACCCUUGUCCUUAGUUACCAGCACGUUAUGGUGGGCACUCUAAGGAGACUGCCGGUGACAACCGGAGGAAGGUGGGGAUGACGUCAAGUCAUCAUGGCCCUUACGGCCUGGGCUACACACGUGCUACAAUGGUCGGUACAAAGGGUUGCCAAGCCGCGAGGUGGAGCUAAUCCCAUAAAACCGAUCGUAGUCCGGAUCGCAGUCUGCAACUCGACUGCGUGAAGUCGGAAUCGCUAGUAAUCGUGAAUCAGAAUGUCACGGUGAAUACGUUCCCGGGCCUU
rnacentral:rRNA from 1 species